rnacentral:sRNA from 1 species
UCUGUUAGAGGUGCCACCAGGGUUCGAACCUGGAAGGUUCGACGAGCGCCGCGUAGCGGCGCCGAACGUCGCGCGCAGCGCGGCGGCCCGAAGGGUGAGGCCGAAGGCCGAAUAAUCCUGGUCCCCCAGCCA